UACAGAGGGUGCGAGCGUUGUCCGGAAUCACUGGGCGUAAAGGGCGCGUAGGUGGCGCAACAAGUCAGUGGUGAAAGCUCGACGCUCAACGUCGAGUCGGCCACUGAGACUGUUGGGCUUGAGCACUGUAGAGGCUAAUGGAAUUCCGGGUGUAGAGGUGAAAUUCGUAGAUAUUCGCAAGAACACCAGUGGCGAAGGCGGCUCACUGGCCCGAUACUGACGCUGAGGCACGAAAGCGUGGGGAGCAAACAGG
rnacentral:rRNA from 1 species